AGCGGCGGAUGGGUGAGUAACACGUGGGGAACCUGCCCCUAAGUCUGGGAUACCAUUUGGAAACAGGUGCUAAUACCGGAUAAUAAAGCAGAUCGCAUGAUCAGCUUUUGAAAGGCGGCGUAAGCUGUCGCUAAGGGAUGGCCCCGCGGUGCAUUAGCUAGUUGGUAAGGUAACGGCUUACCAAGGCGACGAUGCAUAGCCGAGUUGAGAGACUGAUCGGCCACAUUGGGACUGAGACACGGCCCAAACUCCUACGGGAGGCAGCAGUAGGGAAUCUUCCACAAUGGACGCAAGUCUGAUGGAGCGACGCCGCGUGAGUGAAGAAGGUUUUCGGAUCGUAAAGCUCUGUUGUUGGUGAAGAAGGAUAGAGGUAGUAACUGGCCUUUAUUUGACGGUAAUCAACCAGAAAGUCACGGCUAACUACGUGCCAGCAGCCGCGGUAAUACGUAGGUGGCAAGCGUUGUCCGGAUUUAUUGGGCGUAAAGCGAGCGCAGGCGGAAAAAUAAGUCUAAUGUGAAAGCCCUCGGCUUAACCGAGGAACAGCAUCGGAAACUGUUUUUCUUGAGUGCAGAAGAGGAGAGUGGAACUCCAUGUGUAGCGGUGGAAUGCGUAGAUAUAUGGAAGAACACCAGUGGCGAAAGGCGGCUCUCUGGUCUGCAACUGACACUGAGGCUCGAAAGCAUGGGUAGCGAACAGGAUUAGAUACCCUGGUAGUCCAUGCCGUAAACGAUGAGUGCUAAGUGU
rnacentral:rRNA from 1 species